CAGGUAACACGAAAUCGUACCCCAAACCGACACAGGUGGUCAGGUAGAGAAUACCAAGGCGCUUGAGAGAACUCGGGUGAAGGAACUAGGCAAAAUGGUGCCGUAACUUCGGGAGAAGGCACGCUGAUAUGUAGGUGAAGCGGUUUACCCGUGGAGCUGAAAUCAGUCGAAGAUACCAGCUGGCUGCAACUGUUUAUUAAAAACACAGCACUGUGCAAACACGAAAGUGGACGUAUACGGUGUGACGCCUGCCCGGUGCCGGAAGGUUAAUUGAUGGGGUUAUCCGUAAGGAGAAGCUCUUGAUCGAAGCCCCGGUAAACGGCGGCCGUAACUAUAACGGUCCUAAGGUAGCGAAAUUCCUUGUCGGGUAAGUUCCGACCUGCACGAAUGGCGUAAUGAUGGCCAGGCUGUCUCCACCCGAGACUCAGUGAAAUUGAACUCGCUGUGAAGAUGCAGUGUACCCGCGGCAAGACGGAAAGACCCCGUGAACCUUUACUAUAGCUUGACACUGAACAUUGAGCCUUGAUGUGUAGGAUAGGUGGGAGGCUUUGAAGCGUGGACGCCAGUCUGCGUGGAGCCAACCUUGAAAUACCACCCUUUAAUGUUUGAUGUUCUAACGUGGACCCGUGAACCGGGUUGCGGACAGUGUCUGGUGGGUAGUUUGACUGGGGCGGUCUCCUCCUAAAGCGUAACGGAGGAGCACGAAGGUCAGCUAAUCCUGGUCGGACAUCAGGAGGUUAGUGCAAUGGCAUAAGCUGGCUUGACUGCGAGCGUGACGGCGCGAGCAGGUGCGAAAGCAGGUCAUAGUGAUCCGGUGGUUCUGAAUGGAAGGGCCAUCGCUCAACGGAUAAAAGGUACUCCGGGGAUAACAGGCUGAUACCGCCCAAGAGUUCAUAUCGACGGCGGUGUUUGGCACCUCGAUGUCGGCUCAUCACAUCCUGGGGCUGAAGUAGGUCCCAAGGGUAUGGCUGUUCGCCAUUUAAAGUGGUACGCGAGCUGGGUUUAGAACGUCGUGAGACAGUUCGGUCCCUAUCUGCCGUGGGCGCUGGAGAAUUGAGGGGGGCUGCUCCUAGUACGAGAGGACCGGAGUGGACGCAUCACUGGUGUUCGGGUUGUCAUGCCAAUGGCACUGCCCGGUAGCUAAAUGCGGAAGAGAUAAGUGCUGAAAGCAUCUAAGCACGAAACUUGCCCCGAGAUGAGUUCUCCCUGAGACUUUAAGUCUCCUGAAGGAACGUUGAAGACGACGACGUUGAUAGGCCGGGUGUGUAAGCGCAGCGAUGCGUUGAGCUAACCGGUACUAAUGAACCGUGAGGCUUAACCUUA
rnacentral:rRNA from 1 species